UCCCGUUGAUCCUGCGGGAGAGUGCUGCUAUGGGAGUUCGGUUAAGCCAUGCAAGUCGGAGGUUCGCAAGAGCCAGGCUGAAGGCUCAGUAACACGUCAAUAAUCUGCCCUAUGGUCCGAGAUAACCUUGGGAAACUGAGAGUAAAACCGGAUAGAUACUGGAUACUGGAAUGUUCUGGUAUUGAAAUGUAAAGCCAUAGGAUGAGUUGGCGGCUGAUUAGGUAGUUGGCGGUGUAAAGGACCACCAAGCCUACAAUCAGUACGGGCCGUGAGAGCGGGAGCCCGGAGAGGGGGACUGAGAUACUGCCCCCAGCCCUACGGGGUGCAGCAGGCGCGAAAACUUUACACUGUACGGAAGUGCGAUAAGGGAACUCCCAGUGCUCAUGUUUUACAUGGGCUUUUGCCAAGUGUAAAUAGCUUGGCGAAUAAGUGGUGGGUAAGACGGGUGCCAGCCGCCGCGGUAACACCUGCGCCACGAGUGGGACUCAUUAUUAUUGGGCCUAAAGCGUUCGUAGCCGGAUAUGCAAGUCUUGAGUGAAAUCGAUGCGCUUAACAAAUCGACGUGCUUGAGAUACUACACAUCUUGAGAUCGGGAGGGGUUAGGGGUAUUCUGGAGGGAGCGGUAAAAUGUUAUAAUCUCCAGAGGACCACCUGUGGCGAAGGCGUCUAACCAGAACGAGUCUGACGGUGAGGAACGAAAGCUAGGGGAGCAAACCGGAUUAGAUACCCGAGUAGUCCUAGCUGUAGACGCUGCGAACUAGAUGUUACGUAUUCUUCGUGAAUACGUAGUGUCGGCGUGAAGACAUUAAGUUCGCCGCCUGGGAAGUACGGUCGCAAGGCUGAAACUUAAAGGAAUUGGCGGGAGAGCACCACAAGGGGUGCGGCGUGCGGUUUAAUUCAACUCAACGCGGGAAAUCUCACCAGUAGCGACGGCAGAAUGAAGCUCAGUCUAAAGGGCUUAGCUAACGAGCCGAGAGGUAUUGCAUGGCCGUCGUCAGCUCGUGCCGUAAGGUGUCCUCUUAAGUGAGGUAACGAGCGAGACCCAUACCCAUAAUUGCUAGCAGGUGCUUUUGCAUGACUGAGCACUUUAUGGGGACUGCCGUGGAAACACGGAGGAAGGUGUGGGCAACGGUAGGUCUGUAUGGUCCGAAUCUACUGGGCAACACGCGCGCAACAAUGGCGAUGACAAUGGGAUGCAACACCGAGAGGUGAAGCUAAACCUCGAAACGUCGUCCUAGUUUGGAUUGAGGAUUGUAACUCAUCCUCAUGACAACGGAAUCCCUAGUAAUCGGGUUUCAUCACGACCCGGUGAAUAUGUCCCUGCUCUUUGCACACACCGCCCGUCAAACCAACCGAAUUGGGUUCAGGUGAGAUUCAGCUUCAAGUUGCAUCAAAUAUGG
rnacentral:rRNA from 1 species